GACGAACGCUGGCGGCGUGCUUAACACAUGCAAGUCGAACGGAAAGGCCCUGCUUUUGUGGGGUGCUCGAGUGGCGAACGGGUGUGUAACACGUGAGUAACCUGCCCUUGACUUUGGGAUAACUUCAGGAAACUGGGGCAAAUACCGGAUAGGAGCUCCUGCUGCAUGGUGGGGGUUGGAAAGUUUCGGCGGCUGGGGAUGGACUCGCGGCUUAUCAGCUUGUUGGUGGGGUAGUGGCUUACCAAGGCUUUGACGGGUAGCCGGCCUGAGAGGGUGACCGGCCACAUUGGGACUGAGAUACGGCCCAGACUCCUACGGGAGGCAGAAGUGGGGAAUAUUGCACAAUGGGCGGAAGCCUGAUGCAGCAACGCCGCGUGCGGGAUGACGGCCUUCGGGUUGUAAACCGCUUUCGCCUGUGACGAAGCGUGAGUGACGGUAAUGGGUAAAGAAGCACCGGCUAACUACGUG
rnacentral:rRNA from 1 species